rnacentral:rRNA from 1 species
UACGAAGGGAGCUGCGUUGUUCGGCGAUUUACUGGGCGUAAAGAGCGCGCAGGCGGUCGUAUAAGUCGAAUGUGAAAGCCCCUGGCUCAACUAGGGAGAGUCAUUCGAUACUGUUCGACUCGAAGGCAGGAGAGGGAAGUGGAAUUCCGGGUGUAGUGGUGAAAUGCGUAGAUAUCCGGAGGAACACCAGUGGCGAAGGCGACUACCUGGCCUGUUUCUUGACGCUGAGGCGCGAAAGCUAGGGGAGCAAACGGG